rnacentral:lncRNA from 1 species
CGGGAUCAUCAGGAGCCAGGGAAGGGAGCCACCACCCCAGGCUGGGCUAACUCGCAUGAGGACACCACUAACAUUGUCUGCGUUCCAUUUACGUUAGACAGGCAGGUCUACAAUGUUUGAAGUUUACAGAUUUCUUGGAUAUAGCAGUGAAAGGUCCAUUCUGAAGUUGGCUCCAUCCAUCGCCCCUGAUUUGAGAGGCUCAUAACAGAUGAAGAAACUGAGGCUCACAGAAGAAAUGCCUUCCCCAAGCUCCCACAGUUAAGAAGAGAUGGAGCCUGUGUGUGUAACAACUCCACUCACCAUCAUUUUGGGGUUGGGAAGAGAAAUGAAGUCUUCUACAAAUCUCUGAAAAGGCCCUUCUCAGCCACAAAUGGAGGAAACAGCACAAAAAUACAGACAAACAACACAAAAAGGCUGAACAAUAAGCACCAUCUCCAAGAAGCAGAGCAAUUAGGGGAGAAAAUAAAAUAGCUUUUCUCUCUCUGAAAUAAU